ACAUCUUGAAUAGUACAUUCAAGAUGAGAACGUGAAAGACAAAUUUCCUUAUCUAUAGAGAACAAAGGAAAUUUGCCAAUUCCUAUUUGGUGAAGGAAUAGGAAAAUUGUCAAUCUUUAGGGUUGAGCAAUUGUUAUAAAUACCAAGAGGGCGCUUCACGAAGACUUGCGCGCCUCAGGGUAUUCUCGAGAAGGUGCACACAAGGUGUGUGGCGUCGCCCGAUCAACAAGAUAGAGAGAUCUUUUGAUGGUUUAGUAGAAGGUCUACACUAGUCGGAAAAUACAAUUAGUGGUAGUCUUCUUUCAUUGUAAUUCUAGGAAAGAGUUGGUGGAUUCCAUAUAGCAAUUGUAGGUUGCGAACUUUUCUAGUUAAUGAAUUCUGGACUAGGUCCCGGGGAUGUAGGUUAUCCGAACCCCGUUAACAAAGCUUGUGCCUUAUUUACUUUAUGCUCAUACGUACUCGAAGUCGAUCAUACACAUAGUUGAAUUAGUCACACAUAUGCAGUUACAAUUGGUAUCAGAGCGGGUUCUCGAUAGAGAUCUUUUCUUGUUUCGGGUGUUCGAUCUUGGAUGUGUGGCUAGCGGAGAAUUAGAAGUUGUUGUGUAUGUGUGAGAAAAGUCGAAGCAAAGGUAAAUAAAGUGCACAUGAUCUACGGUUACUAAUAAGAGUAUGUCUUCUGCUAUGAAUAGUCACCUAGAACAUGGAAAGCAUCGAUCAAAGUCUGGUUUGCUUCUGAUAGUAUGUCAAGCGUGGGGAAAAAGAAAGACAAGAAGGAACAGUUACGGUUUUAUGUUUUUGUUUGGGCUUCUGUUAACGGUACAUGGACCUCAAGAUAUUACAUGGGCCUGUUUUAUUGUGAAUAUAUAUGUUGGCCCAUCAGGUGGUGAAGCUACAGUUCUUGUCUGUGUUCGACAUGGAGCACAUAGGGGUUUAAUCGUGUGGUGUGAAAGAGAAGAAAUCAAGGUGCUUUUUGUUUGAGAAUUCAUCUCUCAUACCCUUUUUCACAAUUUUAUUCCACAAUCGGAGGCCCUGCGUUUCUUCUUCUCUUUUGAGCUGUACAAAGCUCCAAAAUGCAGGUACAUUCUUCAACUAUAAGCUUCAUAUUUGUUUAGAUUUUUGAAAUUUGAUUGAAUUUUGGUUGAGAAGAUAAAUUCUUAGCACAUUGGAUGUUUGACCAUGGGUUAUGGGUUGAGUGAGCUAUUUAGUUGAUUAGAAUGAAUUUUAGACCCAGAUUCGUCUUGAAUUGCAGAGUUUAGAACCCGGAAUCGAAAUUCGAUUUUGAGUAGAACUAGUAAAACUAGACACUGUGGUAAAUAUAGUAUAACUAGUAAAACUGGUAGUACUGGUAUAACUCGUAUAAAUGGUAAAACUGGUAAAACCAAGUAGUACUGGAACUGGUAAAACUAGUAAAGCUGGUAAAUCUGAUUUUGUUUAUUGUAUUUUCUUGGCAGGAAGUUAAUUCUUAUAAGGGAAGAUAUAUGUUUCCCGGUGAAAAUUUGUCAGGUCGAAACUUAGAGUUCUGGUUUUCCAAAUUCGACAAGAUUGGAAUUAAGAGAUUGUUUCAUCACACGAAUUUAAAAAAAAAAUCAAAGCGGCUUAAUUUGCGAGUUUGAAGUGUCUUUAAGUCUGGUACUGGUGGAAUAUUUGCCAGAUAUUGAGUUCAUAGGUGGAGAUUACAAUCCUAUUCGCCAAAAUUACUCAGUUUAUCAGAGGAAGGAGAGGCAUGCCACAUGUAUAAGUUUUCGCCGGAGACGUUGCUUUGUCUGACCGGAUAUGGUAAACAAAUCAGUUUCAGUUGUCGCGUGGCAAAGCGGUUUGAUGGGCUUGCUCUGAAACUUAAUUAAAGCUCGAAGCCAUAUACAGUUUUGGUUCAACAUUUCAAAGAGUUCUCGAUUCAGGAUCAUCUCAAGUUAUUCUUGUUAUUGGCUGUGGAAUCAUCAGAAAAGAAAAUCAUCAAGCAAAGGUGGUUUGAUCAACUUCUGGGUUUCAAGAAAACAUCAAGAGGAUAGCUAAAUUCAUAGGGAAGACGGGAAAAAGUUUUGAGGUGGCUGUCCAUGAAUUAUAAGAAAGAAGAUUUUGAGAACCUAGCUAAAUGAUGGUCUUCCUGAGGAGUUAAUUUAGAUUCUUUAGCAGUUGUAUUUCACGAAGAAGAGUGGAGAUUAAAGAGCUCAAGCUUGCAGCAAAUUUAUAGAGAUAGUUCAGAGAGUUAUGUCUCUGUUACCAGCCUCUCUACUUGAGAUGAUAAGAAAUCAGAGGAAUGGCUCAACAUUUCACAACGUUCAGUUAUAUGAAGUAAUGUUGAGGAGGAGACACAGAGUAUUGUCAAGCCACAAAGAAGAAAGUGUUUCGGAUUAGGCUUCUUGAUUGGUUGAAUUCUGAUUUGGAAAUGUGUUGAUGUAUGUGUCGUGAAUUGGAAUCUUUGUCUUAUUGAGACACACAAUCAACAAGAGGGAGAAGAAUGUUGCGUCUCAUAGAAAGAGCUUCGUGGGAAGAAAACAAAGAGUGUGCUUUUGUUCAAAGCUAAGAGAAAAGGGAUUUUUGUUCAUGAUGCAGCUACAGAUGGUUCUUGUCAUGAGAAAGAAAGAUGAAUCAAAGAAUGCUGAAGGAGAAGAUUGAUGCAUUCUUAAUUAGAUCAAGUAAAAGUUUGGAGAAACACAGUGAACAACAACGUAUUUCAAUCUUAGAAUGAAGGAAGCUUGUGGAAGAAAAAAUUAUAUAGAUUGACAUCAUUGUUAGUUCCGGUUGAGAAAGUUUUGUUUGUAGAAGCUCAUGACUCUAUGCAUAUGAUCAAGAGUAAUCUCACCCUCAUGAAAUUUGGAAUUUAGUCUGCAUUUGCUGUGAUUUCAUGUUAAGAGUUCAGACUUAUAAGAUAUUGUUCUGACUCCGGGUUGCUACUUUAUUCUUCAGUUACUUUGGCUACAGACCUCCGAUUUGAGCUAUCAAAGUUGUUCUGAAAACUUGAAAGCUAGAUCUUCCAAUGGUAUAAAGAUAGCUGUCUGAUUCCUUGUGGUUUUAUGGGAAAUUGUUCUCAAAGUUGGCUAGGCUGCAUCAUUCCGGAUCUGCUCUAUAAAAAAGGCGGUAACUUUCAAACCGUAUAUCCGAAUCGUGAUCUGCUUUUGCUGUGUCUUCGUAUGACUGUUGUUGAUAUUCCCACCAAAUUUAAUAAUUUUCUGGGUUGAUUUGCUACUCCAUUUGUGCUCUAUAUCAAAACUGAUGAGAAAGACAGAAUUUUAGUUGCUUCAAGAGAAGAAGUUGUGAAGUAACAUCUUGAAGGCUAGCUUGCGCAUCUUAAUUUUAAGGAAAAGGGUAUCUUGUUAGUCAUGAAGAAUAGAGAGCUGCAACUAUGGGGGAGAAGACAGGAAAAAGGAGAUAUGAACUAUAUCAUCAAUGUAUAUGAUUUACAGAUUAGAGAAGUGAUGAGAAAACAGUUUCAAGAUGUCUGAUUGAAGGUAACUUUUAGUGGAUGAAACGUAUUCUGAUUGAGCUGAAAUUCUGUUUUGAGUUGCAACGGUGGGAUUGAGAUUUGGACGGUUGGCUUGUAGUUUAUUUGAGCUUCUUCAAUCUGAUCUAGGCACAGAUUAUCUCAAGUUUCAGAUCUGACCACCUAUGAUGGAGACAUUAAACCGACGAUCAGCUGAACUCGGAAUGAGAUGCAAUUUGGUAGAGAUACACCAGACAUGUGAAACUAGAUUCCAGUUUAAGGGUAAUGGAUUUAGAGUCCAGGAACAUAGUUGAACGAUGACUUUUCAGAACAGUUGUUUCAGAGUUUUAUGAACCAAUGAAUUUCAGAUAAGAUUUUGCAGAAAUUUUGGUAGAAGUGCAAAGGAUUCAGAGGCAAGGAACAUAGUUAAAUUAAGGAUUUAUCAACCUUGAGAUUGAUUAUCAUUGUGUUAAAAAAAAGGGAGAGUCUCAAGAACGUCAGUAGAUCAGUUGGUGAGAGUUAGCUACAAGGAAAGCCAACAGAAUGGUUUAAGUCUAACAAAAUAUCAGCAGUGCAAAGAUAGAUCCAAGUUUUCUACAAGUAAGUUAGGAAGCAUGUUUGUUCAAAGAGAAGGAGACUACGAGGCAGAUUCUCAAGAAAGAAAAAAUGGACAUCAAGAUGAGCUGGUACACUUAUUUUGAGAAAAGCUGAAUUGCUGGUUAAACAUCUUGAAUAGUACAUUAAAGAUGAGAACGUGAAAGACAAAUUUCCUUAUCUAUAAAGAACAAAGGAAAUUUGCUAAUUCCUAUUUGGUGAAGGAAUAGGAAGAUUGUCAAUCUUUAGGGUUGAGCAAUUGUUAUAAAUACUAAGAGGGCGCUUCAUGAAGACUUGCGCACCUCAGGGUAUUCUCGAGAAGAUGCACACAAGGUGUGUGGCGUCG
rnacentral:lncRNA from 1 species